rnacentral:rRNA from 1 species
AUGAUGCCAGCUCCGCUCUCCAGAGCAACGUCCAGGACAUGUGUCCCCUCUCGUCGGUUCAAGUAUGUUCUACGGCACGCGUGGCGCGUGUUGUACUUCGACGCUCGACUGAAUGUACACAUGGCAGCCUUCGGGGAAAAAAAAGAAGAAAAAACUUUGCAACAACCAUCUCUACAAAAAGGCAAAUUUGGCAAAUUAAGAGAAGAGGAAGGUGGUCCCUGUUUGAAGUUUUUAGCAAAUUCAGCAGGUAUUCAGUGCAGAGUCAAUAGUUCCCAUGCGGCAAGCGACGUGGCCAACUAUAUCUAA